AAGAGGCUCGAUCGGCAGUGCGUUUGUUCGUAUUACGAUCUCCGGCUGGACUUUUUCCCGCAAAACCUUCAAAAUUCACGGCUUAUUCCACAAAUUCUUCAUCUUCUUUAGUUUGUCUUGAAAACCAAACGAAUCCAUCAUGUGCGAUCAUUGCGCAAAAGUUACGAGCCAAAAGGGAUACGCAGGACAAGUGACGUGCAAAUGCGACCACGGCGAGAAGAAGAACGGCGAGGCCAAGGAAAAGGAUUUCGGUGGAUGUUGCUCGAAGAAAGAGAAAAAGACAAUCGGCGGAUGUUGCGGAGCUAAAUGCUGCGCGGGACCGCAGGAGGAAGGAGGGUGUUGUACCGGAGGUAUAUCGCCACCACCGAAGGAGAAAUUAUGCUGUGGCCAAGAAAACUAACCGAGUUUUCUUCCUAAGGAAGCCUUUAAGAAAGAGCUGGCUUCAGAGGGGAAGAGCCAACCGGGCGAGAGAGGCAGCCGGUGGGUGUUGCAUGUCCGGCUGUUGCAAGGAUAAAGCGAAGCAGAAGGAACCGGAAGCUCCCCCGAAAUGUUGCGCAGAUCGUAAAUGAUAUCUCCCUGUAGAUAAAUAAAAAAAAUUCCGAGUCUCUAUACCGACCAAUGUAAUAUCACUUCUUCAACAAUAAACGAUGCUUUGAUAUAUGUA